GAUGAAGAACGUAGCGAAAUGCGAUAAGUAAUGUGAAUUGCAGAAUUCAGUGAAUCAUCGAAUCUUUGAACGCACCUUGCACCCUUUGGCAUUCCGAAGGGUAUGCUCGUUUGAGUGUCAUUGUACUCUCACACUUCCGAUCUUUGGAUUGGGAGCGGUGGACUUGGGUGUUGCUGCUUACUGUGGCUCACCUCAAAUCGAUUCGUGCACCUCUUGGUUGGACAUAGUACGGCGUGAUAAGUGUCUUCGCCGGCACCUCAGUAGAGGGUGGCUGAUCGGGAGCUCUGUGCUUCAAACCGUCCUCGGACAACAACUGACAACUUGACCUCAAAUCGAGUAGGACUACCCGCUGAACUUAAACAUAUCAAUAAGCGGAGGA
rnacentral:misc_RNA from 1 species